AAGGCGAUGAUUUCACACGCGUGUGACUGGAGUGGAGCUGCUCUUCCUUCUUCCAAAGUCCGCUCGGCGCUCGGGGACCAGCUGCCCCCUUAUCACACACAAGCAGCCUCAGGGAGCCGACAGAGACCCACAGCGCCUGUCACCAGGCGGUGAGGCCAGCACUCCCGAGCCACCUGCUUUUCAAAAGGAUAAACAGACAACUCAGAACCCAGCCAGGCUCGGCCAGAGAAGAGCCGCAGUGAAAGCAAAGUGGAGCCUAGAGACUUAAGAAUGGCUGGAGGUUUCAGAUGCUGUCCGCUGGGAAAAUCGGUCGUUCCUUACCUCAUUCUCAGGGCUCUGCCUCUGUGGGGUGGGUCUUCUUUUCAGCCAUUUCUGCCUCAGAGUGAAUGACCGAAUCCUGCCUCCGUGCUUUGAUCACUGGUACAUUUCAAGGAGAGGAGUUCCUGUCCCGAAUCAGGGACACUUCAGUUAUGGUCAGUUAGAAAAUGCUAGUUCUCCAGACCAACAGUUGAAGUUCCAGCUGCUAGACUGAUGCAUGAGUUCCUCAUUAGCCAACUGCCGCCCUCCAGUUGGAUGGAGGACAGUGCACUGGAGCCCUUGCAUCUGAGGAAUGUGCUGUGUGCCAUGUACCAGAUGGCCCCAAGCUCUCAGGACUCCGAGUGCCCCACAUAUCUCUUAAAUAAAAGAGCAAAUGUCCCCUUCAGGGGAUGGAAGGAUGGAAGUAAUGGAAGGAAGAAGAUGAUUGUUUAAGGCCUGCAAACUUUGAACAAUUAGUUGAAUAUAAAGUUGAUGUUAAUCUGAAUAACACACAUUUUCAGGUAAAAGGGUCAGAUCUUUGUAGGCAGUGAUUAUCACAAACAAAAAGAUCCGGCUUUGGGGAUAAGGGUGUUUGGAAAUCAAAAAGAGAAAAUAUUCUGGGAUGAAAAAUUUUCCUUAGAUGCUCUGUGAGUAAAGAUUGGUCCUUUAUGUAAAAUUUGAGAUGGAAAGAAGACCACAUCCAGGAAACAAAAAGCUUACAACAGGGUUUUGGAAACAAGGUCUUUUUAGACAGAUGGAUGUAGUUUUGGAAUUGUCUUUUGGAAAUUGUUUUUUAACUCUUUGACCUGAAAUUGUGCUUAAAAUUUUGAAGAAUAAAGAAUUCUUUUGGUGUU
rnacentral:lncRNA from 1 species